rnacentral:rRNA from 1 species
AUUGAACGCUAGCGGGAUGCUUUACACAUGCAAGUCGAACGGCAGCGCGGACUUCGGUCUGGCGGCGAGUGGCGAACGGGUGAGUAAUGUAUCGGAACGUGCCCAGUAGCGGGGGAUAACUACGCGAAGGCGUAGCUAAUACCGCAUACGCCCUACGGGGGAAAGCAGGGGAUCGUAAGACCUUGCACUAUUGGAGCGGCCGAUAUCGGAUUAGCUAGUUGGUGAGGUAACGGCUCACCAAGGCGACGAUCCGUAGCUGGUUUGAGAGGACGACCAGCCACACUGGGACUGAGACACGGCCCAGACUCCUACGGGAGGCAGCAGUGGGGAAUUUUGGACAAUGGGGGCAACCCUGAUCCAGCCAUCCCGCGUGUGCGAUGAAGGCCUUCGGGUUGUAAAGCACUUUUGGCAGGAAAGAAACGUCGCGGGCUAAUACCCCGUGGAACUGACGGUACCUGCAGAAUAAACACCGGCUAACUACGU